CCUACGGGUGGCUGCAGUGGGGAAUAUUGGACAAUGGGCGCAAGCCUGAUCCAGCCAUGCCGCGUGAGUGAUGAAGGCCCUAGGGUUGUAAAGCUCUUUUACCCGGGAAGCGGUACCGGGAGAAUAAGCCCCGGCUAACUUCGUGCCAGCAGCCGCGGUAAUACGAAGGGGGCUAGCGUUGUUCGGAAUCACUGGGCGUAAAGCGCACGUAGGCGGAUCUUUAAGUCAGGGGUGAAAUCCCAAGGCUCAACCUUGGAACUGCCUUUGAUACUGGAGAUCUUGAGUCCGGGAGAGGUGAGUGGAACUGCGAGUGUAGAGGUGAAAUUCGUAGAUAUUCGCAAGAACACCAGUGGCGAAGGCGGCUCACUGGCCCGGACUGACGCUGAGGUGCGAAAGCGUGGGGAGCAAACAGGAUUAGAUACCCUUGUAGUC
rnacentral:rRNA from 1 species